rnacentral:rRNA from 1 species
AACGAACGCUGGCGGCAUGCCUAACACAUGCAAGUCGAACGAGACCUUCGGGUCUAGUGGCGCACGGGUGCGUAACACGUGGGAAUUUGCCUCGGGGUAUGGAAUAACUCAGGGAAACUUGAGCUAAUACCAUAUAAUGUCUUCGGACCAAAGAUUUAUCGCCCUGAGAUAAGCCCGCGUAGGAUUAGCUAGUUGGUGGGGUAAAGGCUCACCAAGGCGACGAUCCUUAGCUGGUCUGAGAGGAUGAUCAGCCACACUGGGACUGAGACACGGCCCAGACUCCUACGGGAGGCAGCAGUGGGGAAUAUUGGACAAUGGGCGAAAGCCUGAUCCAGCAAUGCCGCGUGAGUGAUGAAGGCCUUAGGGUUGUAAAGCUCUUUACCCGUAGAUGAUAAUGACAGUAUCGGGAGAAUAAGCUCCGGCUAACUCCGUGCCAGCAGCCGCGGUAAAGUAGUCGUGU